GAAAGCCUGUUGAAACUAUCAACAUCUCCUGGAUGCAACCCAGACACUCUAAUUAAGNUAAGACCUC
rnacentral:tRNA from 1 species